rnacentral:misc_RNA from 1 species
ACAAUUGGGUAACGAGAGCAUACCAAAACAAGCUAUACAGGAUUUACCCAAGUCUUUGGUCUGCAAUAUACACUGUGUCAGUCCAAAGUUUCUGAAAAAGGAGAAAAAGCGGCAGCAGAUAGACAAAGCGACCAGCUAGUUUUCUCUAAAUGAGCAUCUUUCUUAGGCAAAAUGGUCUGGGCGAAGGGAUAUUGGAAGUUGAUAGAUCUGUUAAGCAAAGCACAAGAAUGACCUUAAUGGCUUUAGUUUGGAGGUAUAUGGCA